rnacentral:snRNA from 1 species
GUAUGGCGUUGGCAGCACAGAUACUAAAAUUGGAUUAAUACAGAGAAGAUUAGCAUGGUUGCUGCACAAGGAUAAUGCACAAAUUUGUGAAGCAUUCCUUAUUUUC